rnacentral:lncRNA from 1 species
GAGGUUCCUGGGGACAGCCGCAAAAGACCGCGGGUGGUCCCAGGCCAGGAGCCCUGAGACCAGGGACACGAAAUAGAAGCCACGCCCUGACUGGGUGAGGCUGGUGUGGCCUGGGGAUGAAAGGGCGCUCUCUUAUUUUUGUUACUGAAGCUGAAGGUCAAACUGAUGCCCAGUGAAUGAAAGUUAGAAAAGCAAUAAUAAUAACUUUUUUGAAAGGCAGAUAUCUCAGAAAAUGAAGACCGGGAAAUAUGGGCGAAGUCAGAUGCCUCAUUCUCUCUUCCUGCAGAAGAAGUCGAUGUUGGACUAAAGGCUUCUCUUUAAAAGCCCAUCUGGGAAGCUAACCUUUUCAUCUCUGGCCGUCCCUGACCAGAAACAGUGGCAGGCUGGUGAAAACUCUGUCCGGCUCGGGCCUGGUGCUCGCAUCAGCACUUCAAGGCCACCGAAUUAGUGUUUGAAGACCAGAUGAUCUGAUUAGAUUAUGUGGUUUGUAGAAAAUUAAAUUCUUUGGCCAAACCAGAUGCUAAGCUUCUGUCCAGAAUUGAUAUGCUAUUAGAAGGCCUGGAAACUAAUAAACGUACCAUAACUAUUAAUUUAUAGAUAGGUUGUUGGCAAAUAACCUCAGAGAGAGGAUCCAGGCUUGAAACAGCUUUUGUGACACCAGAUGGAGUGUGUGAGUUUAAUCAGAGUCCUGGGAAGGGAUCUGUACAGUGUAUUAAAAAACUCCACUGUCAUCUAUGAGUGAAGUCUGACAUAUACUGAGAAAAGUAUAGGAAAGUAGAACCUAACUGAAGCCGAUUCAAGAAACGAUGACUCAUGCAAGGAUCUAGAUGUUCUUUUAGGAUGAAGUGUGUUGGUAUGAAGCAGGGACAAUUCACCUAUCCAGAAUCUGGUGACCUGGCAGUUUUACCUGAGGACAAAGAGGCCAGAAGCUACCCAGCCAACCAAGCAAAUGUCCCACACUUCGAGUGGCCGAGCUGAACCUCUCAAGAACACCCCAAGUCCAGAAGGCUCACUUAUGUCCCCAAUGUCUCAAACCAGCAGUCCCUAAAGC